rnacentral:rRNA from 1 species
UACGUAGGGUGCGAGCGUUAAUCGGAAUUACUGGGCGUAAAGCGUGCGCAGGCGGUUUUGUAAGUCAGAUGUGAAAUCCCCGGGCUCAACCUGGGAACUGCAUUUGAGACUGCAAGACUGGAGUUUGGCAGAGGGGGGUGGAAUUCCACGUGUAGCAGUGAAAUGCGUAGAGAUGUGGAGGAACACCGAUGGCGAAGGCAGCCCCCUGGGUCGACACUGACGCUCAUGCACGAAAGCGUGGGGAGCAAACAGG